rnacentral:tRNA from 1 species
GGGGAUUUAGCUCAGUGGUAGAGCGCUUGCCUAGCAACUUGGCAAGGCCCUGGGUUCGGUCCCCAGCUCCG